rnacentral:ncRNA from 1 species
CGAGGAGUCCAGUGCGGUAACGUGACCAUCCCAGAGAAGCUGACGGGAGCCCCUGGGAGAGUUCUCUUUCUUUGUGAAGGGCAGGGCGCCCUGGAAUGGGUUCACCCCGAGAGAGGGGCCCAAGCCCUGGAAAGCGUUGCGGUUCCGGCGGCAUCCGGUGAGCUCUCGCUGGCCCUUGAAAUUCCGGGGGAGAGGGUGUAAAUCUCG